AGCAAACAGGAUUAGAUACCUGGUAGUCCACGCCGUAAACGAUGAGUGCUAAGUGUUGAGGGUUUCCGCCUUCAGUGCUGCAGCUAACGCAUUAAGCACUCCGCUGGGGAGUACGACCGCAAGGUUGAAACUCAAAGGAAUUGACGGGGGCCCGCACAAGCGGUGGAGCAUGUGGUUUAAUUCGAAGCAACGCGAAGAACCUUACCAGGUCUUGACAUCCUUUGACCACUCUAGAGAUAGAGCUUUCCCUUCGGGGACAAAGUGACAGGUGGUGCAUGGUUGUCGUCAGCUCGUGUCGUGAGAUGUUGGGUUAAGUCCCGCAACGAGCGCAACCCUUAUUGUUAGUUGCCAUCAUUCAGUUGGGCACUCUAGCGAGACUGCCGGUGACAAACCGGAGGAAGGUGGGGAUGACGUCAAAUCAUCAUGCCCCUUAUGACCUGGGCUACACACGUGCUACAAUGGGAAGUACAACGAGUCGCUAGGCCGCGAGGUCAUGCAAAUCUCUUAAAGCUUCUCUCAGUUCGGAUUGCAGGCUGCAACUCGCCUGCAUGAAGCCGGAAUCGCUAGUAAUCGCGGAUCAGCACGCCGCGGUGAAUACGUUCCCGGGCCUUGUACACACCGCCCGUCACACCACGAAAGUUUGUAACACCCGAAGUCGGUGAGGUAACCUUUUGGAGCCAGCCGCCUAAGGUGGGAUAGAUGAUUGGGGUGAAGUCGUAACAAGGUAACCAAGGGCGAAUUCUG
rnacentral:rRNA from 1 species